rnacentral:rRNA from 1 species
UACGGGGGGGGCAAGCGUUGUUCGGAAUUACUGGGCGUAAAGGGCUCGUAGGUGGCCAACUAAGUCAGACGUGAAAUCCCUCAGCUUAACUGGGGAACUGCGUCUGAUACUGGAUGGCUUGAGAUUGGAAGAGGGAUGCGGAAUUCCAGGUGUAGCGGUGAAAUGCGUAGAUAUCUGGAGGAACACCGGUGGCGAAGGCGGCUUCCUGGACCAACACUGACACUGAGGAGCGAAAGCCAGGGGAGCAAACGGG